AGAGUUUGAUCAUGGCUCAGAUUGAACGCUGGCGGCAGGCUUAACACAUGCAAGUCGAGCGGAGAUGAGGUGCUUGCACCUUAUCUUAGCGGCGGACGGGUGAGUAAUGCUUAGGAAUCUGCCUAUUAGUGGGGGACAACAUUCCGAAAGGAAUGCUAAUACCGCAUACGUCCUACGGGAGAAAGCAGGGGAUCUUCGGACCUUGCGCUAAUAGAUGAGCCUAAGUCGGAUUAGCUAGUUGGUGGGGUAAAGGCCUACCAAGGCGACGAUCUGUAGCGGGUCUGAGAGGAUGAUCCGCCACACUGGGACUGAGACACGGCCCAGACUCCUACGGGAGGCAGCAGUGGGGAAUAUUGGACAAUGGGGGGAACCCUGAUCCAGCCAUGGCCGCGUGUGUGAAGAAGGCCUUAUGGUUGUAAAGCACUUUAAGCGAGGAGGAGGCUACUGAGACUAAUACUCUUGGAUAGUGGACGUUACUCGCAGAAUAAGCACCGGCUAACUCUGUGCUAGCAGCCGCGGUAAUACAGAGGGUGCGAGCGUUAAUCGGAUUUACUGGGCGUAAAGCGUGCGUAGGCGGCUUUUUAAGUCGGAUGUGAAAUCCCCGAGCUUAACUUGGGAAUUGCAUUCGAUACUGGGAAGCUAGAGUAUGGGAGAGGAUGGUAGAAUUCCAGGUGUAGCGGUGAAAUGCGUAGAGAUCUGGAGGAAUACCGAUGGCGAAGGCAGCCAUCUGGCCUAAUACUGACGC
rnacentral:rRNA from 1 species